rnacentral:rRNA from 1 species
AUUGAACGCUGGCGGCAUGCUUUACACAUGCAAGUCGAACGGUAACAGGCCUUCGGGUGCUGACGAGUGGCGAACGGGUGAGUAAUGCAUCGGAACGUACCCAGAGGUGGGGAUAACGCAGCGAAAGCUGUGCUAAUACCGCAUGUGAUCUGAGGAUGAAAGCGGGGGACCGAGCAGCAAUGUUUGGCCUCGCGCCUUUGGAGCGGCCGAUGUCGGAUUCGCUAGUUGGUGGGGUAAAGGCCUACCAAGGCGACGAUCCGUAGCUGGUCUGAGAGGACGACCAGCCGCACUGGGACUGAGACACGGCCCAGACUCCUACGGGAGGCAGCAGUGGGGAAUUUUGGACAAUGGACGCAAGCCUGAUCCAGCAAUGCCGCGUGCGGGAAGAAGGCCUUCGGGUUGUAAACCGCUUUUGGCAGGAACGAAACGGUGUCCGCUAAUACCGGGCGCUAAUGACGGUACCUGCAGAAUAAGCACCGGCUAACUACGUG